CAGCCGCCACGGUAAGACGGAGGAUGCAAGCGUUAUCCGGAAUGAUUGGGCGUAAAGCGUCUGUAGGUGGUUUAUUAAGUCUGCUGUUAAAGCACAGGGCUCAACCCUGUAUGGGCGGUAGAAACUGGUAGGCUUGAGUAUGGUAGGGGUAGAGGGAAUUCCCGAUGUAGUGGUGAAAUGCGUUGAUAUCGGGAAGAACACCAAAGGCGAAAGCACUCUGCUGGGCCAAUACUGACACUGAGAGACGAAAGCUAGGGGAGCAAAUGGGAUUAGAUACCCCAGUAGUCCCUGUCUCUUAUAC
rnacentral:rRNA from 1 species